rnacentral:rRNA from 1 species
UACAGAGGGUGCGAGCGUUAAUCGGAUUUACUGGGCGUAAAGCGUGCGUAGGCGGCUUUUUAAGUCGGAUGUGAAAUCCCUGAGCUUAACUUAGGAAUUGCAUUCGAUACUGGAAAGCUAGAGUAUGGGAGAGGAUGGUAGAAUUCCAGGUGUAGCGGUGAAAUGCGUAGAGAUCUGGAGGAAUACCGAUGGCGAAGGCAGCCAUCUAGCCUAAUACUGACGCUGAGGUACGAAAGCAUGGGGAGCAAACAGGAUUAGAUACCCUGGUAGUCCAUGCCGUAAACGAUGUCUACUAGCCGUUGGGGCCUUUGAGGCUUUAGUGGCGCAGCUAACGCGAUAAGUAGACCGCCUGGGGAGUACGGUCGCAAGACUAAAACUCAAAUGAAUUGACGGGGGCCCGCACAAGCGGUGGAGCAUGUGGUUUAAUUCGAUGCAACGCGAAGAACCUUACCUGGCCUUGACAUACUAAGAACUUUCCAGAGAUGGAUUGGUGCCUUCGGGAACUUAGAUACAGGUGCUGCAUGGCUGUCGUCAGCUCGUGUCGUGAGAUGUUGGGUUAAGUCCCGCAACGAGCGCAACCCUUUUCCUUAUUUGCCAGCGGGUAAUGCCGGGAACUUUAAGGAUACUGCCAGUGACAAACUGGAGGAAGGCGGGGACGACGUCAAGUCAUCAUGGCCCUUACGGCCAGGGCUACACACGUGCUACAAUGGUCGGUACAAAGGGUUGCUACCUCGCGAGAGGAUGCUAAUCUCAAAAAGCCGAUCGUAGUCCGGAUCGCAGUCUGCAACUCGACUGCGUGAAGUCGGAAUCGCUAGUAAUCGCGGAUCAGAAUGCCGCGGUGAAUACGUUCCCGGGCC